AUUGUUGCAUAUUUCACUAUAAAACAUAUAGACAACGAAAUGAGUACAGUUUUAUCUAUUUUAAUUUAGUUUCAAAUCUGUAAUUGAGAGAAUAAGAUUUACAAGAUUUUUUUUUUUUUGUACGAGUCUUUGACUCUGUUUUGGUUACUAUUUUCUGCAUAAAUAAAAUAGGAUAAUAAUUCGAACAAAAUACUAAUUUUGGUUCCCUUAUUUAUGGUUUGAAGACUGAAUUGCUUUCC
rnacentral:lncRNA from 1 species